rnacentral:sRNA from 2 species
CGCAGGUUCGGGUCGAACGCAGUGAGACAACGGAGCCGUUUACGGCGACGGCCCGUAGGGCGAGCGAAGCGAGUCAUCCUGCACGACCCACCA